rnacentral:rRNA from 1 species
GGGCCCGCACAAGCGGUGGAGCAUGUGGUUUAAUUCGAUGCAACGCGAAGAACCUUACCAGGGUUUGCAUGCCACUAUUUAACUAGGUACUUGUGAAAGCAGGUUUUGGUGCACAAGUGGUGCAUGGCUGUCGUCAGCUCGUGUCGUGAGAUGUUGGGUUAAGUCCCGCAACGAGCGCAACCCUUAUAUCUUGUUGUGAUUCCAGAUCAAGAAAAACUGCCGGUGACAAACCGGAGGAAGGUGAGGAUGACGUCAAGUCCUCAUGGCCCUUAUGUGUUGGGCUACACACGUGCUACAAUGGCACUCACAAUGGGAUGCAAAGAGGCGACUCUUAGCCAAUCCCUAAAAUGUGCCUCAGUUCGGAUUGUACUCUGUAACUCGAGUGCAUGAAGUUGGAAUCGCUAGUAAUCG